rnacentral:lncRNA from 1 species
AGAAAGUGGUGCUCACUCCUUCACAUGGUAAAAGGUCAGAACAGAGUUUACCUUCCUCUGACCUGAGUGGAUAUUAGGAACAUGACUUCUGUAAAUACCGGAGACAGUAAUUCGCUCAGCGCCUUUCCUGUUUAUCUGUGCUUCAAGACAUUUUCUCUCUCGGUGUGGUUUUCAGUAUUCUAUCAGAGCUUCUAGAAAAGUCAUUCUGCCAAAAUAUGUAGUAUAUAAAAAGAUUUGUAAAAGUCAUUGAUUUUUUUUUAAUUAAAAUACUUCAAAUAAUAAAAAAACAUAAAAUAGGAGUUCCUGUUGUGGCUCAGCAGAAGCAAACCCAACUAGUAUCUAUGAGGUUGUGGGUUCGAUCCCUGGCCCCACUCAGUGGGUUAUGGAUACAGUGUUGCCAUGAUCUGUGGUGUAGGUCUCAGAUGCAGCUCGGAUCUGGCACUGCUGUGUCUGUGGUGUAGGCCAGCAGCUGCAGCUCCAGUUCAACCCCUAGCCUGGGAACUUCCAUAUGCCAUGGGUGCAGCUCUAAAAAGACCAAAAAAAACCCCGAAACCAUGAAAUAAAAAUGACCCAAAAGCUCACCAUCUAGAAAUAACAACAUUAAUAUUUUGAAGUUCGUAUUUCCAGAAUUUUCCCUAUGUAUGUAUCAGUAUAAAUCAUUUAAAAAUCAUUUUUAAUAAACCUAGAGGGCCUGAAAGUGAGUGACGUGAAAGAGAUGACUGGGUGUAGGCUGACGUUUCUUGGCUGGCAGUGUGGCUAAGUGAGAGCCGGUGAUAGUUUUGUCAGCAGACUCCACUUCUGGGUUUCGUCUGAACGUUGCCGUCAUCAUUUUGCUGACACCUUCUCCUUUACCAAGGUCUGUAGGCCAGGACCCCGGUACCACCCCCUUUCUGAUGGCCUCAUUAAAUAUUUCACGUGAAACAUAUAUACCAUCUGCUUAGGUUACAGGUAGAGUGUGGCCCAAAUAAUCAGCUGAAUUGCAAUGUGUGUGCUUAAGCUGAUCUGGAGAUGGACCUGCAUUUUCUCCGUAGUGCAAAAAUGCUGGGCUUGCACUGGUUUAAAAAGUGCUCCUGCUUCUGACCCCUAUUAGUAGGGCUGACUCUUUGCCAUUAGAGAUUAGUGAGUUUUCCUUAUGUGUCCAUCUUCUCACCUGGUUUCUCUUGUUACCAGUAUCAAACAUGUGCCCUGAUAGAAAUUUAGAGGAGGACUCCCCUUGUGAUGCAGUGGGUUCAGGAUCUGGUGUUGUUACUGCAGCGGCUCAGGUUGACACAGUGAUCUGGGUUUGACCCCUGGCCUGGGAAUUUCCACGUGUUGCAGGUGUGACCCCCCCAAAAAUUAGGGGGCAUUCUGAGCAUGUAGAAAUGAACUAAUUCAUUAACUUGUCUCUAAGAAUUGUGUUUGUUACCUUGGUAUCACCAUAUUCUGUUACUAGCCGUGGAAGUUACAGGUUUAUAUAUAAGCAAAUAAUGUAUUUUUAUUGAAUGAAAAGGAUUCUGAAUAUAUUAUGUGAAAAGAAGCUGGAGAAUAUGAGGGUAAGACAUAUUUAUCAGUCAGGAAUCGUUUUCAAAAUGAUUUUGUGCAUGGGUUUAAUAUUUCACACCUUGACACUUUGAUAAGAAAGUUCUGUUUCCAUUGACGGUUGAAGAGAAUGGCAAGACCCAGGUUUGAUCCCGUGUGGCUGCAGCUAACUCCCUUAAACUCUGUGAACUUCAGCUUCAGCAUUAGUAAAAAGAGGCUGCUAAUACCCACCUUACAUGGUAGUUGGGAGAACUGAAUCAGAUAUGUGAAAAGCAAAAUGCCUCCUAUACUGUUUGGAGAUUGGUUGGUUUUUCCCGUCCUCUGCUCCAUCUUCACCACAGUGGACCUCUCAGUGCAGGCAGGCAUGCGUCCAAACCUCCCGCUUCUAGGAACAGCAGCCCCAUGUUAGCUUUGGCUCACUUCUCCUCCACCUUUGGAUAAAGGCUUCAUCUAAUUGUCAUUCAAGAUCCCUAGUGAAUAUACAUCUUAAGCCAGCCAAUCAGAUGUGCUCUUCUUCUUCUUUUCUUUUAUUUAUUUUUCUCCUUUUUAGGGCCACACCUGCAGCAUAUGGAAGUUUCCAGGCUAGGGGUCAAAUCAGAGCUGCAGCUGCCAGCAUAUACCACAGCCUCAGCAUCUCAAGAUCUGAGCUGCAUCUGUGACCUACAUCACAGGUCAUGGCAACACCAGAUCCUUAACCCCCAUGAACGAGGCCAGGGAUUGAACCCACAUCCUCAUGGACACUGGUCAGAUUUGUUACUGCUGAGCCACAAUGGGAACUCCUGAUGAUUUCUUUCUUCAUGUUACUGUUAUAGCAUUAGACUGUAAUAAAAGGAAAGCAGUAGACUAAGGUCUAAUAAUUUAGAAGCACCAGAGACAUUGUUGGAACAAAAUGACAAGCCUUUAAUGACUAUCUUAGCUGGCGAAAGCCCAUACAAUUGCUGCAUGAAUAUUUACUUGAGAAGCUUUCAUUGGUAGGAAAGAAGUUGUAAACCUUACAAAUACAUUUUGUUUAAAAAACAUUAUAAACCCUGGCCAUUUUUAUAUUAAAUUAUCUUCUGAUAUUUUCAACACAUCCGUUUUGCUCCUUUUUCUUAUGAUAAGCUUUGCUUGAGGAAGGAAGAAUAGGAUUUCAUUAACCUCAUCUGAAUAAUAGAAGUAAACAGGUAGUGUCCAUAUCAUGCAAAAUUGCUGAAGUUCCUAAAAUCAGUCCUACACGUUGCUCAGAGGCAUUAAUCACUUUGCUGGUUACAUCUGUUCUUGGGAAACAGAACCUGCCUUGACUGUGAAUGGGGACAAGGUUGCCACCUGCUUAUUCCCAGUGUUAUUCGGAGCAACACGCUGGCCUGGUCGUGACUACACAUGGCUGCCUUGUGGUAAGAAGGUCAUGGCUGGUCAGGCCUUACUUAUCUUAUUUUCUCUCUUGCUGAGAAAGCAGAGAUUAUGCUGAAUACAACUGAAGUCAGGCUGGGCCCUAGAGUUAGCUCUAUGCUGUGUGCAGGGCGGGCACAGAGCUAAUAAAAAUCGAUGCAGACAGUUGAGCGGGAGCCCAAUCCAUGAUCCUAGUUCACAUUCUUCACCACAGUUGCAGUGUCAAAAAAAAUUUAAAAACACCCAAUAAUGGUAUAUGAU